AAUAGAUACCCGGGUAGUCCACGCUGUAAACGUUGGACACUAGGUGUGGCGGUCUGAUCAACGACUGCCGUGCCGAAGCUAACGCAUUAAGUGUCCCGCCUGGGGAGUACGGCCGCAAGGCUAAAACUCAAAGGAAUUGACGGGUCCCCGCACAAGCGGCGGAGCAUGCGGCUUAAUUCGAUGCAACCCGAAGAACCUUACCUGGGUUUGACAUCAUGGGAAAAGCCGUGGAAACACGGUGUCCGUAAGGGCCCAUGACAGGUGGUGCAUGGCUGUCGUCAGCUCGUGUCGUGAGAUGUUGGGUUAAGUCCCGCAACGAGCGCAACCCUUGUCCUAUGUUGCCAGCGGUUCGGCCGGGGACUCAUAGGAGACUGCCGGGGAUAACUCGGAGGAAGGUGAGGACGAUGUCAAGUCAUCAUGCCCCUUAUAUCCAGGGCUGCACGCAUGCUACAAUGGUCGGUACAACGGGCAGCGAUCCUGCGAAGGUGAGCGAAUCCCAUAAAGCCGGCCUCAGUUCGGA
rnacentral:rRNA from 1 species